rnacentral:rRNA from 1 species
GACGAACGCUGGCGGCGUGCCUAAUACAUGCAAGUCGAACGCAGUGGGGACGGGUGAGUAACACGUGGGUAACCUCCCAUCAGAGGGGAUAACACUUGGAAACAGGUGCUAAACCGAUACUGAUGGAUGGACCCGCGGUGCAUUAGCUAGUUGGUGAGGUAACGGCUCACCAAGGCAACGAUGCAUAGCUGGCCUGAGAGGGUGACCGGCCACACUGGAACUGAGACACGGCCCAGACUCCUACGGGAGGCAGCAGUGGGGAAUAUUGGACAAUGGACGAAAGUCUGACAGAGCAACGCCGCGUGAGUGAAGAAGGUUUUCGGAUCGUAAAGCACUGUUAGUGGGGAGGCGGUAUCUAACCAGAAAGCCACGGCUAACUACGUGCCAGCAGCCGCGGUAAUUC